CCGCGUAAUAGCUAUGAGAACCACCAGGAACAAAAUCACCGUCAUGUAUAGCGACCUUCAAAUGAAUCCUUGUGGACCCCCAGAUGUUUCAAAAUGUUGUUGUGGCCCUGAAAUAACUCACCUGGUUCACAUAUUCAAGAGCUUGAUGGUUAAAUAAAAAUCUAAUUGUAUUCAUCACACACGCUGAAUACAACUGGUGUAGACUCACACUGAAAUGCUUGCUUACGAACCUUUCCCACAGAUGCAGUUUUAUUGAUUAUUAUAAAAGUUAUUGUAAAAAAUAAAAUAGGGAGGAACAUGAGAGGAAUUCAAUAAAAUACACAAGAAUGGAGCUAUAUACAGGAAAUACCCAUACCAGGUCAAUGUGGAGCUAUAUACAGGGAGUACCAGGUCAAUGUGGAGUUAUAUACAGGGAGUAUCAGCACCAGGUCAAUGUGGAGCUAUAUACAGGGAGUAUCAGCACCAGGUCAAUGUGGAGCUAUAUACAGGGAGUAUCAGCACCAGGUCAAUGUGGAGCUAUUUACAGGGAGUACCAGGUCAAUGUGGAGUUAUAUACAGGGAGUACCAGAUCAGUGUGGAGCGAUAUACAGGGAGUAACAGGUCAAUGUGGAGCUAUAUACAGGGAGUACCAGGUCAAUGUGGAGGAAAUAUACAGGAAGUACCAGGUCAAUGUGGAGUUAUAUACAGGGAGUACCAGGUCAAUGUGAGCUAUAUACAGGGAGUAUAAGGUCAAUGUGGAGCUAUAUACAGGGAGUACCAGGUCAAUGUGAGCUAUAUACAGGGAGUACCAGGUCAAUGUGAGCUAUAUACAGGGAGUACCAGGUCAAUGUGGAGGAAAUAUACAGGAAGUACCAGGUCAAUGUGGAGUUAUAUUACAGGGAGUACCAGGUCAAUAUGGAGCUAUAUACAGGGAGUAUAAGGUCAAUGUGGAGCUAUAUACAGGGAGUACCAGGUCAAUGUGGAGGAAAUAUACAGGAAGUACCAGGUCAAUGUGGAGGAAAUAUACAGGAAGUACCAGGUCAAUGUGGAGUUAUAUACAGGGAGUAUAAGGUCAAUGUGGAGCUAUAUACAGGGAGUACCAGGUCAAUGUGGAGUUAUAUACAGGGAGUACCAGGUCAAUGUGGAGUUAUAUACAGGGAGUACCAGGUCAAUGUGGAGUUAUAUACAGGGAGUACCAGGUCAAUGUGGAGCUAUAUACAGGGAGUACAAUGUCAAUGUGGAGCUAUAUACAGGGAUUACCAGUACCAUGUCAAUGUGGAGCUAUGUACAGGGAGUACCAGGUCAAUGUGGAGCUAUGUACAGGGAGUACCAGUACCAGGUCAAUGUGGAGCUAUAUACAGGGAUUACCAGUACCAGGUCAAUGUGGAGCUAUAUACAGGGAGUACCAGCACCAGGUCAAUGUGGAGCUAUAUACAGGGAGUACCAGCACCAGGUCAAUGUGGAGCUAUAUACAGGGAGUACCAGCACCAGGUCAAUGUGGUGCUAUAUACAGGGAGUACCAGCACCAGGUCAAUGUGGAGCUAUAUACAGGGAGUACCAGCACCAGGUCAAUGUGGAGCUAUAUACAGGGAGUACCAGGUCAAUGUGGAGCUAUAUACAGGAAGUACCCGCACCAGAUCAAUGUGGUGCUAUAUACAGGGAGUACCAGCACCAGGUCAAUGUGGAGCUAUAUACAGGGAUUACCAGUACCAGGUCAAUGUGGAGCUAUAUACAGGGAGUACCAGCACCAGGUCAAUGUGGAGCUAUAUACAGGGAGUACCAGCACCAGGUCAAUGUGGAGCUAUAUACAGGGAGUACCAGCACCAGGUCAAUGUGGUGCUAUAUACAGGGAGUACCAGUACCAGGUCAAUGUGGAGCUAUAUACAGGGAGUACCAGCACCAGGUCAAUGUGGAGCUAUAUACAGGGAGUACCAGCACCAGGUCAAUGUGGAGCUAUAUACAGGGAGUACCAGCACCAGGUCAAUGUGGUGCUAUAUACAGGGAGUACCAGCACCAGGUCAAUGUGGAGCUAUAUACAGGGAGUAGCAGCACCAGGUCAAUGUGGAGCUAUAUACAGGGAGUACCAGGUCAAUGUGGAGCUAUAUACAGGAAGUACCCGCACCAGAUCAAUGUGGUGCUAUAUACAGGGAGUACCAGCACCAGGUCAAUGUGGAGCUAUAUACAGGGAGUAGCAGCACCAGGUCAAUGUGGAGCUAUAUAUAGGGAUUACCAGGUCAAUGUGGAGCUAUAUACAGGGAUUACCAGGUCAAUGUGGUGCUAUAUACAGGGAUUACCAGGUCAAUGUGGAGCUAUAUACAGGGAUUACCAGGUCAAUGUGGAGCUAUCUACAGGGAGUACCAGCACCAGGUCAAUGUGGAGCUAUGUACAGGGAGUACCAGGUCAAUGUGGAGCUAUAUACAGGGAGUACCAGGUCAAUGUGGAGCUAUAUACAGGAAGUACCCGCACCAGAUCAAUGUGGAGCUAUAUAUAGGGAUUACCAGGUCAAUGUGGAGCUAUAUACAGGGAUUACCAGGUCAAUGUGGAGCUAUAUACAGGGAUUACCAGGUCAAUGUGGUGCUAUAUACAGGGAUUACCAGGUCAAUGUGGAGCUAUAUACAGGGAUUACCAGGUCAAUGUGGAGCUAUCUACAGGGAGUACCAGCACCAGGUCAAUGUGGAGCUAUAUACAGGGAGUACCAGCACCAGGUCAAUGUGGAGCUAUAUACAGUGAGUACUAGGUCAAUGUGGAGCUAUAUACAGGGAGUACCAGGUCAAUGUGGAGCUAUAUACAGGGAGUAUCAGCACCAGGUCAAUGUGGAGCUAUUUACAGGGAGUACCAGGUCAAUGUGAGCUAUAUACAGGGAGUACCAGGUCAAUGUGGAGCUAUAUACAGGGAGUACCAGGUCAAUGUGAGCUAUAUACAGGGAGUACCAGGUCAAUGUGGAGGAAAUAUACAGGAAGUACCAGGUCAAUGUGGAGUUAUAUUACAGGGAGUACCAGGUCAAUGUGGAGCUAUAUACAGGGAGUACCAGGUCAAUGUGGAGUUAUAUACAGGGAGCACCAGGUCAAUGUGGAGCUAUAUACAGGGAGUACCAGGUCAAUGUGGAGUUAUA